CCACCAUUCUACUUUCCAACUCUACAAAUUUGACCAUUCUAGAUACCUUGAAUAAAUGGCAUCAUACAUCUUUUUGUGACUGGCUUACCUCACAUCAACAUCUUCAAGAUACUUAUUGGACACCUACUGUGGGGCUGGGAACUAGACCCUGAGAAUACAGCAGUGAACGAGGUGGACACGGACCCUGCCGUUAAGGAGCUUGCCAUUUAGUGAGAGGGAAAAUAAUAAGGAAUUUACAACGAGGUGAUGAAAAUAACUGGCUAUCAGGGUCAUAAAGGAUUCAUCAUUAAACAGCAUUUCCACUCUCCAGGCCCAGAAAUGCACGGAUCAGGAAUCAAAAACCUCAAAUGCCUCCAGGAGCCAAGCAGGUCACAGAAAUGAGUGAACUGGGCUGAAUAAGAACUAAAGGGAACUGAGGAGCUCACACCCCGUCCCAAGGAUGCCAUUGCCCUAUGUCCCUAGCUGAUGUGACCACACGGGAAUGUGGGCAUAUUUGGACAGAUCUUCAAUUUCCCAAGCAACACCAGAAGUCUGGAUUUUUAAGUAAAACACCCAAUUUUAAAUGCUGGCUCAAACAAACAAACAAACAAACAAACAAACAAACACCCCUUUGUGGGCCAAGCUAAGAAUAUGUGUAGGAUAACGUACAUAUGACUGCAUCCUCACCUCUCCCAUACCAGCUAUAGAUGAUUGAACCAAAAGGGCUUGAGUCCAGGACAGAACUUGGAAGGUGAUUUUCAAAAGAAAUCUAGAGAGCAGGCCAGUUCUUUUCAUCAGACUCUUUCUGCUAAAAAAAUCAACACAAUGACCUUUGACCAAAAUCAGAAAAGUCCAACCCAGACCAAAAACCAGCAGCAAACAAGAUUCCUGCUAAUUUCAGGGAGUUGGCUCUCUCAUGUCAAGAGUUGACUUUCAGAGAUCUCUAUUGAACUCUAUCAAAUUUCCAGGUAACUGGACCCAAAAUUUCCUGGGUCAUCUUGAAUUCCUGGGCAGCAAAGCAAUCAAGAAAUUCCAUUGCUGAGUCAUAGAAUCAUGGUCCCAGAAUUGUUAGGAAACAAACACCCAAAGGAGUGUCUGAUUCCCUUCAAAACCAUCCUGGAAAUGGUGGAAAACGAGACCCCUCUCACUCCCGACCAUAGCAGCCUGUCUUCGACCUUUCUAGCAUGCAUCACAAUGUACGUUUUUAAAAUAUCUGAUGUUUUUUAGUUUAUGGUCUCUGCCCUCCACCCCACUAAAAUGGAAGCUCCAUGAGAGCAGUCAGGGACCCUGCGUUCUUCACAGCAGCAAAUUCCAAAUACACACCUGUGAAAUAAUAAAUUAAUGAUCGAUCAUCAAAGUUAUAUUUCAGUGUCCCCGGAGACAGGGAGCUAUUACUUCCCAAAGCAGACAAUUAUUUCUUUGGACACUCUUGCCAAAUAGAAAACUUUUCUAAAAUAGAUCUGAAUCUACAUAAUCUCUGUUAGCUCCAGUUUUAUCUCUUGGCGUCGUACAAGCUAAGCUUAUAUUCUCUUCCAACUCACGGGUUCCUAGAUAUCUAAACACAGGUGUCAUUUCUCUUUUAAUCUUGCUUU